CAGCCGCCACGGUAAUACGUAGGUGGCAAGCGUUGUCCGGAAUUAUUGGACGUAAAGGGCUCGCAGGCGGUUUCUUAAGUCUGAUGUGAAAGCCCCCGGCUCAACCGGGGAGGGUCAUUGGAAACUGGGAAACUUGAGUGCAGAAGAGGAGAGUGGAAUUCCACGUGUAGCGGUGAAAUGCGUAGAGAUGUGGAGGAACACCAGUGGCGAAGGCGACUCUCUGGUCUGUAACUGACGCUGAGGAGCGAAAGCGUGGGGAGCGAACAGGAUUAGAUACCCCCGUAGUCCCUGUCUCUUAUAC
rnacentral:rRNA from 1 species